rnacentral:rRNA from 1 species
CCUACGGGAGGCAGCAGUGAGGAAUAUUGGUCAAUGGGCGCGAGCCUGAACCAGCCAAGUAGCGUGAAGGAUGAAUGCCCUACGGGUUGUAAACUUCUUUUAUAAAGGAAUAAAGUGUUGCACGUGUGCCCUUUUGUAUGUACUUUAUGAAUAAGGAUCGGCUAACUCCGUGCCAGCAGCCGCGGUAAUACGGAGGAUCCGAGCGUUAUCCGGAUUUAUUGGGGUUAAAGGGAGCGUAGAUGGGUUGUUAAGUCAGUUGUGAAAGUUUGCGGCUCAACCUUAGAAUUGCAAUUGAUACUGGCAGUCUUGAGUACAGUAGAGGUAGGCGGAAUUCGUGGUGUAGCGGUGAAAUGCUUAGAUAUCACGAAGAACUCCGAUUGCGAAGGCAGCUUACU